UUAGGACGAGGAACACUGAUUCUUUAAAGAAUGCUUUCUUGGGGAGCAGGAUCUCACACAGGCCAUGAAGCUAUGAAAGAAUAUUUGCCUGGAGUGCCCUUUUGCUGUCUUCUGCCAUUUAAUGUGAUCACCACCCUGAUAAGCACAAAGACAGCCAAAGAAAAGUACUUUUUCUUUUAGCACUGAGUUGGGCCUUGGUGUCACACCCUCCUCCAUACAUCUGACUUCUGUUACUCCUUGGGAACUUUGGAUAUCAGACUAUAAAUGCUAAGGGAACAUUAUUAUUUAUAUAUUUAAGAGUACCAUGUGGCCUCAGUUUGUUUUGAAAGUACGGCAUGUGUAAGACCCAAAAAGCCAAGAUCUCCACAGCAGCUGUUUUCACAAACUCAAGAUUUGGAGAUUUGAGAUAUCAGACAGUUGAGAAGCUGGCUUUCAUCACCUUGUCUGAAAGUCUGUGUGGGUGACUGACUUCCAUGGAAGAUCAGAGAAGAUCAGACCUGUUGGUACCUGCUGGAGAGGCUGAAAAACAAAAGUCCCAGUUCUUUUCUGCUGG